GGAGGCAUAGCUCAGUUGGUUAGAGUACUUGCUUGACAUGCAAGGGGUCGUAGAUUCGAGUUCUACUGUCUCCACCA
rnacentral:tRNA from 1 species